UCCAGGCUCAUAUGCACAGGUGCCGACGCACUUGGAAGCGCACACGCACCGCACUGCUCCGCGCAUCCUCCCGCUCCCAACUGCAGGCCAAUAGGCGCCGUCUGCCUGCCCCCCAGUACGCUCCCGGACAGUCGGUGUGGCUUCGGGCGAAGGAUCUUCCCUUGAAGGGGAUCUCCCCUAAGAUCUCUCCCCGGUUCAUCAGCCCUUUCGAAGUGGAGUCUGUCAUCAACCCCUGUGCCGUUCGUCUCUGAAUCCCUCCAUCUCUCCGUGUCCAUCCGACCUUCCAUGUCUCCCAGCUCAAGCCUGUCUCCACCAGCCCGUUGUCUCCUCCCGCUACGCCUCCACCUCCGCCCAGGGUCAUCGACAACCAUCCGGCGUGGACAGUCCGCCGCCUCCUGGAGGUGCGUCGCCGCGGCCGGGGCCACCAGUAUCUUGUCGACUGGGAGGGGUACGGGCCCGAGGAGCGCUCCUGGGUUCCCCGGAGGAGUAUCCUGGAUGCCUCGCUGGUUCGGGAUUUCCAUCGGGACCAUCCGUCGGCUGUGGGUCGUCCGCCGAGAGGCGUCCCUAGAGGGGGGGGUACUGUCGCGUCCUGCUACGCGGUCCAAUGCCGCCAUCUAGUGGCUAUGGGACGCUGGUGGGCCUCCUUCUCCCGCACCUGGACGUAAUUAUCCUUAAUGAUCGUCCCUACAUCAGCCGGGGAUUUCCUAUCAGCCGGCGCCAGUUCGUCGCUACGUCUUUACAUAUUCUCCGGUCGCCGAACCCCUGCCUGCCUGACUACCCGCCUGCUGUCGCUCCCUUGCUUGCCUGUUAUCGAACCCCUGCCUGUCUGACUCUCCUGCCGGUUCCUGAUCCCCGCCUGUCUGACUCUCCUUCUGGUUCCUGAUCCUCGCCUGUCUGACUCUCCUGCCGGUUCCUGAUCCCCGCCUGUCUGACUACCCCGUUGGUUCCUGAUCCCUGCUUGUCUGACUACUCGCCUGUCUACGGAAUAAACCCCUUUCCUUUAUUCCGUCUCCGUCUCCCUGUGUCCAGCAUUUGGGUCCACUCGUCUGUUCCGUGACAGAUUUGGCCACUUCCAGGCCAAUCCAAUUAGAAUCUGCUUUUCUGUUACGUUGAGCAUGUAUGAAGCAUUGUCUGUGUAUUUAUUUUGCAGACAGGUCAGCAUAUAACAUAUAGUAUUUGUGAGUGUGUAAAUGAACAAGCACAUAAAAAUGUUUGACAC